rnacentral:rRNA from 1 species
CGGGGAAUUUUGGACAAUGGGCGAAAGCCUGAUCCAGCCAUGCCGCGUGCAGGAUGAAGGCCUUCGGGUUGUAAACUGCUUUUGUACGGAACGAAAAGACUCUGGUUAAUACCUGGGGUCCAUGACGGUACCGUAAGAAUAAGCACCGGCUAACUACGUGCCAGCAGCCGCGGUAAUACGUAGGGUGCAAGCGUUAAUCGGAAUUACUGGGCGUAAAGCGUGCGCAGGCGGUUAUAUAAGACAGAUGUGAAAUCCCCGGGCUCAACCUGGGAACUGCAUUUGUGACUGUAUAGCUAGAGUACGGCAGAGGGGGAUGGAAUUCCGCGUGUAGCAGUGAAAUGCGUAGAUAUGCGGAGGAACACCGAUGGCGAAGGCAAUCCCCUGGGCCUGUACUGACGCUCAUGCACGAAAAGCGUGGGGGAGCAAACAGGAUUAGAUACCCUGGUAGUCCACGCCCUAAAACGAUGUCAACUGGGUUGUUGGGGUCUUUCACUGACUCAGUAACGAAGCUAACGCGUGAAGUUGACCGCCUGGGGAGUACGGCCGCAAGGUUG